AUUGAACGCUGGCGGCAGGCUCAACACAUGCAAGUCGAGCGGAGAUGAGGUGCUUGCACCUUAUCUUAGCGGCGGACGGGUGAGUAAUGCUUAGGAAUCUGCCUAUUAGUGGGGGACAACAUUCCGAAAGGAAUGCUAAUACCGCAUACGUCCUACGGGAGAAAGCAGGGGAUCUUCGGACCUUGCGCUAAUAGAUGAGCCUAAGUCGGAUUAGCUAGUUGGUGGGGUAAAGGCCUACCAAGGCGACGAUCUGUAGCGGGUCUGAGAGGAUGAUCCGCCACACUGGGACGGAGACACGGCCCAGACUCCUACGGGAGGCAGCAGUGGGGAAUAUUGGACAAUGGGGGAAACCCUGAUCCAGCCAUGCCGCGUGUGUGAAGAAGGCCUUAUGGUUGUAAAGCACUUUAAGCGAGGAGGAGGCUACUGAGACUAAUACUCUUGGAUAGUGGACGUUACUCGCAGAAUAAGCACCGGCUAACUCUGUGCCAGCCGCCGCGGUAA
rnacentral:rRNA from 1 species